UACGAAGGGGGGCUAGCGUUGCUCGGAAUCACUGGGCGUAAAGGGUGCGUAGGCGGGUCUUUAAGUCAGGGGUGAAAUCCUGGAGCUCAACUCCAGAACUGCCUUUGAUACUGAGGAUCUUGAGUUCGGGGAGAGGUGAGUGGAACUGCGAGUGUAGAGGUGAAAUUCGUAGAUAUUCGCAAGAACACCAGUGGCGAAGGCGGCUUACUGGUCCAUAACUGACGCUGAGGUGCGGAAAAGCGUGGGGAGCAAACAGGG
rnacentral:rRNA from 1 species